GACGAACGCUGGCGGCGUGCUUAACACAUGCAAGUCGAACGGUAAGGCCCUUCGGGGUACACGAGUAGCGAACGGGUGAGUAACACGUGGGUGAUCUGCCCUGCACUUCGGGAUAAGCCUGGGAAACUGGGUCUAAUACCGGAUAGGACCACUGCCUGCAUGGGUGGUGGUGGAAGGCUUUUGCGGUGUGGGAUGGGCCCGCGGCCUAUCAGCUUGGUGGUGGGGUGAUGGCCUACCAAGGCGACGACGGGUAGCCGGCCUGAGAGGGUGACCGGCGACACUGGGACUGAGAUACGGCCCAGACUCCUACGGGAGGCAGCAGUGGGGAAUAUUGCACAAUGGGCGCAAGCCUGAUGCAGCGACGCCGCGUGAGGGAUGACGGCCUUCGGGUUGUAAACCUCUUUCAGCACCGACGAAGCGCAAGUGACGGUAGGUGCAGAAGAAGGACCGGCCAACUACGUGCCAGCCGCCGCCGUAA
rnacentral:rRNA from 1 species